AGCCUGAUGCAGCCAUGCCGCGUGUGUGAAGAAGGCCUUCGGGUUGUAAAGCACUUUCAGUCGUGAGGAAGGUAGUGUAGUUAAUAGCUGCAUUAUUUGACGUUAGCGACAGAAGAAGCACCGGCUAACUCCGUGCCAGCAGCCGCGGUAAUACGGAGGGUGCGAGCGUUAAUCGGAAUUACUGGGCGUAAAGCGCAUGCAGGUGGUUUGUUAAGUCAGAUGUGAAAGCCCGGGGCUCAACCUCGGAAUUGCAUUUGAAACUGGCAGACUAGAGUACUGUAGAGGGGGGUAGAAUUUCAGGUGUAGCGGUGAAAUGCGUAGAGAUCUGAAGGAAUACCGGUGGCGAAGGCGGCCCCCUGGACAGAUACUGACACUCAGAUGCGAAAGCGUGGGGAGCAAACAGGAUUAGAUACCCUGGUAGUCCACGCCGUAAACGAUGUCUACUUGGAGGUUGUGGCCUUGAGCCGUGGCUUUCGGAGCUAACGCGUUAAGUAGACCGCCUGGG
rnacentral:rRNA from 6 species